CUUGGUGCCACAAUUUUCUUGAAAGAUUAGACACCUUCUUGAAGCAUAGGUCAGAAUAUCCUCCUUUCUUCCAGGGGUCUUAUACUUCAGGCUUAGAUAUUCUAUAACAACCAUCCCAGUGACGAUGGUGGCAAAAGCACAACAGAAGCAGCAGUCACUGUUUUAGUGGACUGUGUUUUCCGGGCACUGGGUUAAUCAUUUUGCCUGCAUUACCUCAGGCAAUGCCACUAUGUGAUAGAUAUUUU
rnacentral:lncRNA from 10 species